UACAAAUCCUCAGAUACUAGAUGACCUUGAAGAAAUGGACAAGCUUGAAAGAGGUAAAUUCUUACACACCUCAUCUUCUUUACUUAUAACAUGAAUGUUUGGUUUUAGUAAUUGAUUUGAACUUUGUAUGAAACAGAGUAUGAAGAAAAAAAGAGUUCCAGUUGCAGAAGAAGAGUAGAAGACUAAGGCUUUGUGGUAGCUUAAGAAGAUCAUGGCAAUCUUUUUUUAUCUCGGUCUCAAGUUAUCUUUUUUUUUUUUGCAAUUUGAAGACUUGUUCUUGGUUUGAAUGUUGGUUUUAAGUUUAGACACAAAUUUUCUUGUCUUGUUGUGUCUAAAACUUGUGUUUCCGUUGUGUUUUGGUGUGUUUGAACUCAGAUUGUUUCAAUGGAAUUUUCGGAUGUUUGGUUAAGUUUGGUAUAUUUCGGUUUGUUUGGUUAUUUUUGAUUGACUAUGGUUGUUAAAACCGAAACCACACCGGAACCGUAGUGUUAUCGGUUGGUAGUGGAUUUUGUUUACUUCAACCGCACCGAUCCGAAACCGAUUGAUUCCAAACCGAAACCAUUAUUCAUUAU
rnacentral:lncRNA from 1 species